CGUACCCAGCGACCGUUCGGAGUGGGAAGUGUUUUUAAACAGCAAGCUCCGGUUUUUCCUGCCUCGACUUUCUGAAACGCCCGCGCUGUUGUUGGGGCUGCUAACUUUGGGAAGACUCGGCGAAGAAGGGGGAAGGCUGAGCUACACGAUCCCAUAGCUUCCCCCUCCCCGCCCCCCAUCUCAGCGGCUUUGGAGGCGGCUUUCAAGCCAGCAAAAUUGCUCAGCUUUCUGUAAUAGCCAGCAGAUGAAGCGGAGUUUUCCUUGCAGCAGGGGCUGGAGCGCGCCUGGUUCUUUGGGUAGGAAAUACUGCAGGCUUCUGGACUGCGUCUGCUUCUCGAGGGAGAGGCUGGCUGUUGUAGUUCCACCCACAGGCUGGAAGGAGGGGGUUUGAAUAAAAGAGAAGAAAAGCCCCAAUACCUCGGUCCCUCCGUGAGGGCGACCGCAGCAACUAGGUUGGGGCGAGCGAGGACGCGCUCCCUGCCGUCAUUCCCCCCUCCUCUUCUUUUCUUUCUUUUUUUUUAGAGCUCUUCCUUCCCACCCCCUCCUUUUCUCUCUUUAGUAAGCGGUUGGAGGGAUCGUGAGAAACCGCGAGGAAGCCGAUCUGAGGAGAUCCGGACUUCCCUCGUCUUGCUAUUUUCUCCGAAAGGGCUGCCACCCUCUCUCGGUUCACACCCCCAUCUCUAGACCCUGGCAAUUGACAUUACUUAAGAGCAGCAGGAGGAGGGGGGGUCCCGCUCUAACGGGGGGAGGACGGAGAAAAGCAAAGCAAAGCAAAGCAAGACCUGUUUCCCCCUUUUCGGUGUUUUGAUUUUUUUUUUAAACAAAUCUUAUUUUUAAUUUUUGCGGCGGUUAACGCGGCUGGAGCUAGUGAGCAUUUAGAAGGCAAAGAAGUCGGAGGGAGGAAAGAAAGAAAGAAGCCACCUUGAUUAGGACUGUCAGGAAUAGUGGCUUUAACCGAAGAAAGGCCUGGGGCACGACUCCCUGCCAACGAGUUCCCUGCAUCCGAGAUAAAGAUUCUAGCUACAUGGGCAAACGCUUGGAACAGCAGCCAAUGUUCCCACAGUACACAUACUACUAUCCCCAUUAUCUCCAAACCAAGCAUUCCUAUGCACCAGCUCCCCAUCCCAUGGCUCCUCCCAGCCCCAGCACUAACAGUAGCAACAACAAUAGCAACAACAGCAGCGGUGAACAGUUGAGUAAAACCAACCUGUACAUCCGAGGCCUUCCUCCCGGCACCACUGACCAGGACCUAAUUAAACUGUGCCAGCCGUAUGGAAAAAUUGUAUCUACAAAAGCAAUCCUAGACAAAAACACAAAUCAGUGCAAAGGUUACGGUUUUGUAGAUUUUGAUAGUCCAGCAGCUGCACAGAAAGCCGUAGCAUCUCUUAAAGCAAAUGGUGUGCAAGCUCAGAUGGCUAAGCAACAAGAACAAGACCCCACAAAUCUUUACAUCUCAAACUUGCCCAUGUCCAUGGAUGAGCAAGAGUUGGAGAAUAUGCUUAAACCUUUCGGACAUGUCAUUUCCACCAGAAUAUUAAGAGAUGCAAAUGGCAUCAGUAGAGGAGUUGGAUUUGCCAGAAUGGAAUCUACUGAAAAAUGUGAAGUUAUAAUUCAACAUUUUAAUGGAAAAUACCUGAAAACACCACCAGGUGUGCCAGCCCCAACAGAACCUUUGCUGUGCAAAUUUGCUGAUGGAGGACAAAAGAAACGACAAAAUCAAAACAAAUAUACUCAGAAUGGGAGACCCUGGCCAAGAGAAGGAGAGGCUGGCAUGGCCUUGACAUAUGAUCCCACAGCUACUAUACAGAAUGGAUUUUAUUCCUCACCGUACAGUAUUGCUACAAACCGCAUGAUUCCACAGACAUCUAUCACGCCAUUCAUUGCUGCUUCCCCUGUCUCCACAUAUCAGGUUCAGAGUACUUCAUGGAUGCCCCAUCUGUCAUAUGUUAUGCAACCAACAGGUGCUGUGUUAACGCCAACAAUGGAUCAUACAAUGUCCAUGCAGCCAGCAAGUAUGAUGGGCCCCUUGACACAACAGAUGAGUCAUCUUUCCUUGGGCACAACAGGAACAUAUAUGACGGCUGCUGCACCUAUGCAAGGGACCUAUAUUCCCCAGUAUACUCCUGUGCCUCCAACAGCUGUCCCUCUUGAAGGUGUGGUUGCUGAUACCUCUCCACAGACAGUAUCUUCAUCACAGGAAUCCAGUGGUCAACAGCAACAGAUGGCUGUCGAAACAUCUAGUGAACAUGCAUCUGCAUAUUCAUAUCAACAGUCAAAAAACCAGCUUCCAAAGUAUCCACCUCUUUAUAUCUAUGUGAACCACUGAUCUAAGAAUGGAAAAAUAUAAAACCAAAACAGUCCUCAUGCAAAAACAGGAAGUUUCCUUGGAGGAAGGGAAGUCUGUUACCUCACUGAUAUGAAUAAGACAAUGAACAGACCAGAAAAAUGUCAACGAAGCUUGCCUUGAAUGAAAAAACUUCAUUGAACAAGAAGUUGGCUUUCCGUUUGCACAGGCAGCGACAUUUUUUUUUUUUUUUCAUUUUCUACUUUACUCAACAAGAGUGUUUCUGUGUGCUGUGCAAAUUGUUUGGUCAUAUAGUCUGAUAGUUUUAUUUUUGCUAUUUUUUUUAAUUAAAGGGGGAAACAUGGCAAAAUACUGGGUUAAUAUUUUAUCUGAAUGAACAUUUGAAAUUCAGCAUUUACUUGGAACUGUACAUUUAUAAUUUUUGUUUGUUUGUGUUUGUUUUGCUUUGCUUUGCUUUGCUUUGCUUUGCUUUGUUUUCCCAAAAAGCUAAGAAUGGUGAUAAUAAGAGGGAGAAAGCUGAGAUGAAAACCGGUGUUCUUCCUCAAGAAUCCAGCUAAUUCUUUUCCCCUUGUUGAAAUCAACUGUUUCUUUUCUUUUGAGUUUGUGCGCAUAUGUGUUUUUUUUUUAAAGAAAUGUUUAGGUAAGAUUUAUAUUGAAACUUAAUUGCCUUAAUUUUAAGGAUGUCGAAGGCUUUCAAGGCAAGCUGUCAACGGUUUGGUAGAAGAAAAGUACAUGGAUUCCUAUGUAUGUACACCUGGAUCAACUGGUGCUGAAGUUCAACAGACUGAAUUUUUAGGGUUAACAAACAACAACAAAAUAAAAACUGCACAGUUUAACAGAAAAUGUUAAACAAAAACUAUUGAUAAAGGAACUAUGACAACUUCAAAAAUUGGGGGGGAAAAUCAAUGUGAAGACUUUUAUGAACUUUCUUAGUGUUGACAGAGAAGAAUCUAAAAGGCUAAAGUGUUUUAUAAUAAAAUAAUUUGAGAGGGAGGUCAAGUUACAUUUUAAAGAAUUGGUGGGGAGGGUUCUGAUUUUUUUUUUAAUUUACAAAAUGUGAUUGUUGGCCAGAGCAUUAGAGCUUUUUAUCUGCAGUCUUUUUUUAUGAGCUUUAAAAAGUUUUUAGUCUGCUUUGCUUAUUACAUUGCAAACACCUAGCUUAAAAGCAUUGGAAGGAAAUCUUAGAUAGGAGCUUAUGGUCAAAAAAGUGCAAAAAAGCAAUAGCUAGAAGAAAUUGUUGACAAUUUCUAUAGUAUUUCCUAGUUGUGAUCAAAUGCAGCCUAUGGAUGGUCUGUUUUAUACCAAAGAUUAAAUGAUACCCCACCACAAGAAGAUAGAAGCAUUUUAUUUUAUUUUAUUCUUAUUUCUUUCUUUAAAAAAAUCUUUGUUUGACUAAUAUGGCCGGUCCAGUUGUUAUCUUUAUCUAUUAUUUAAACUUUCUUCCACUGGUAUUUUACAUUCUAUGACCUUGGGAUUCUAAUCAAAAAUCCUGAUUAGUUGGUACUUAACAACACUUAGCAGACCAGGAGGAAAAUUUCAGUUGCCAGUUAUGCAAGGUGUCUUUUAACUUUUCUGUGCUUUUUUCUUUUAUACUGAAACAGGAGUCUUACUUCCUUAUAUCAUCCAUGGGCUUUUUCUUUUUUUUCUUUUGCCUCCUCUUUCCCUGUAUUGGUUUGCAAUCCUGUGAACCAUCCAUGAUCAUCAUCUGGAUGAUGUCACUUAAAAGAGGCCACUGAACAUGGUUACUUUUUUUAAAAUAGUCCCAACCAAGAUAAAAGUUUUAAACGGUUUGUGUUAAUUUUUAUACAGGCAUGAAAUUAACAAUCACUUUAUAUUAAAUGGAUUUUUGUUGUCUUGAUAUCUGACAAUCAGAGAUUAGUUAAUUAGGUAAAAGACAAGAAUGAUUAUGUUGAAUCAGUGCAAGUUAUUUUUUAAAGAUAAAAGAAUAUAUGGAAUCUAGGAAUAUAUGAAGGAAAUGGAAUAUGAAAAUUCCAUUUCCCAUUCAUAGUGGUUGAAGAGGGACUGUAUUUUUCCAACAGUCUAUGGAGAAAACAUUUUAAAAUGAACUUUCCAACCAUUUCCAAUUACUUAUUCUUUGCUAGAUAUGGCACAGUCCAGGGAUCAUCUCUUUUAGACAGCACUAUUCAGACAAUGAGGAAUUAAGGGUAUAUAUUUCUGUCCCCAAAUUAGAACUGGUAUUUAUGAAUGGGGUAAAGAAGUACAACGUAUCUUUUUUGAGAAGAUGAAGCAUUUAAAAUGAUUCUUCUUAAGGAAAAAAUAGACUUAAGUGUAGUGACUGUGGUGUAUUAAAAAAAACAGGGUAAUCAUAUUGAAAAAUGAAAGCAAAAUGUUGUAAAAAUAAAAAUAAAACAUGUUUUGGGGGCAGGGAAGGGUAAUCAAAGAGAUUCAACUUACCAAGUUUUAAUAUCAAGGACAUACACAACUAAACAUGACUCCUACAUGAGCCUUGUGAAAUAACAACGUUUUGGCAGGAGCAUUAUUGUGCACAGAAUCCAUGGUUACCUUUAAAUGAUGUUUUUAAAAAAAUUGAGUAUUUUUUUAAGAAUGCUAAAAACAGUUGUUUAUUUUUAAUGUAAUAUUUCGUGCUUGGUGGGGUUGAGUGUUGGAUAACCCCCCCCCCCCCAAAUAACUGCUAAAUGCAAACAUUAAAAAGCAAAAUAAGAAGAAGAAAGGAAAACAGGCUGUCACCUGGCUGGCAUAAUGAGAAGAACCUGGUUAUUUGAAAUUCAUGUAGUUUUCAGUAACCUCAUAGAUAAUUAAAAGGACCACACAGAGAAAGGAUAAUAAUGUAUUAAUAAGGAUCUCUAGCUUCCUUUUUCCACACGCUUUGCCAAUGCUGUUACUUUUUAGAACAUCCCUUGAUUCCCCCCCCCCUUGUUUUCAUUUGGAAUAGGUGUGCCUAUUAAAAGGGAUAUGAGAAAAAUGAUCAAGCCAGCCUGGUUUUCUUCCUUUUUAUGCUUGCCCCCCCAAUCCAUCUCUCUCUCUCUCUCUCUCUCUCUCUCUCUCUCUCUCUCUCUCUCUCUCUCUCUCUCUCUCCCUCCCUCCCUCCCUCCCUCCCUCCCUCCCUCCCUUAAUGCGGGACAAAGUAUACCUUCUUCUAAAUUAUUAUUACUUUUGUUUUACUUGCCAGUCUUGUCUGUAUCAUUGUAUUUCUUGAUGGAUCCUAUCCAAGUACUAAUCAGGAUUGUUCCUCCUUCCCUUUCUAAAAUCAGCCAAAGUCAGCUAAAUGCUUUAUCUACCUGGCCAUUACAAAUGGAGAAGUAAAAGUGACAUAUUCUUCCAAUAAAUUGCUAUUUAAUAGAUUCCCCUUUAAUGCAUCACCAAGUUAAUAAUUGAUAGUCUAGACGCUAUGUUUGAGUCAAAUUGCUAUAAUCUAAAUUUGAACAUUCCUAAAGAAAAUCAAAAAUCAAUUCUUGAUUUCAAAUUUAAUUUUAUUAAUACUUUUGGCCAUUCAUACCCAAAAGACUUUAUAACAGCAUUAAAGAGGCUGUAUAACUGGCAUUCAUUAUUUACAAGAUGUAUGAUACUGAUGUAUCAAUCUGAUUUUAUUUAUUAUAUGAUGUCAGUGACAUCAAUGGAGAAAUUAUUUUUCAUCCCCUAGGAAAAGUCGUCAUAAACUCUAAAUCUGACCCCAACUUGAAAUAAAAUAUAAGGAGAGGUUCUUAUGAUAGCAGAAUGGUUACAAUCAUUCUAACUUUAGAUUGACAGGUCUAACUUUUCAAAGAUCAAAAGAGAUUUGAUUCAUUUAGUAAGACCUUAGAAUUUUCCUUUCUUUCUCAGCCAUACAUCUCUUUAUGUGAUGCCACAAUCUAGAGAAGAUUGGAAUGUUCCAGAACUCAACAGCAAUUUACAUUUAGAGGAGAAAAUAUGAGAAGUCUAAGGUCCAGAAACACAUGGGGAUUGCAGAUUUUGCAUCAACAAUAUAUUUAUAUAAAUAUAUUUCACAAUGUCAUCUGAAUCACUGUGAAUGUAUCUUGUAUAUUUAAUCCAUACCACCUUAACAAGUGAAAAGGACAAUUUCCUAAAGCAUUUUAUUAUUUCUCACAGUGCUAAAACCACUAAAAAUUAUUCUGGGCAUCUAAAUGGCCUUGUUUCAUUCCAUGAAUAUAAUUUAUGGAAUGAGGAAUUAAUUCCUUAAGCUCUAGCUGACCAGAUGAUCAUAUUCUCCUUGUCUGAUAUCAUAUAGAAAGAUACUUUGGGCUAUACACCUCUGGUCUUUGAAAUUAAUAUUCCAAUCCUGAUAUGAGUAAUGACACUAAACAGCAAUACAGACAAGACUUCUACUUGUGCAGAGGAAUUUAGUAGGCUUUCUGGAUAACCACAGUUUACCCUCCUCUGCUAUCUCCCUCCUCAGCUUCAUGAACUUCUAAAGAUGGGAUUGCUGGUUUUGAGAUAAUAUGAUGAUGGUUACCCAGUCGCUUAUAAGACAGCCCAAAGGUGGACUGCUGAAAUAUGGGAUUUGGAAAAUAAUAUACUAUUGCAAUAACAGAAUAAACCUAGGCUAGACUUCAAUAUCAUCAAGAUUCAGAAAGCCUUUCCUCAGAUCUUUUUAAUUAAUGUGCAUUUAAUCCAAGUAUUGGAGCAAGAAAGCAUAUAUGUGUGUGUGUGUGUGUGUGUGUGUGUGUGUGUGUGUGUAUUAUACUGCAUAUAAAGAAAAACAUUUUUGAUGGUCUUCAACAAUAUUGAGGGAUGUUUAAAUUUCUUCUGAAUAUGCUUUCCUUGCUCCAUUCUGAUUGCAAGGUUCUACUUUUUCCAAGAGACAGAGAGAAUGCAAAGUAGGAAUGACUAGAUGUACUGUCACAUGUUCCACCACGUAUAAAACCUUGCCAGUGUGUGCCAUACAUGUAAGAACUGGGAUUUUUUUUCAUGUGAUUUCGCUAGCUGAUUUUUUUCCAAGUAUUUCAUUAAUUCCUAACUCACUUAGCUGAGCAAUCAACAGAGGGUACUCUUGCUGCAAAAUGGAGGCUUUUGAAUUUGCAGUUUGACUUCUACUUUAUACAUGAACCUCCUAUUUGGGGCCAACCAUACACAGAACUUAAAAAAAAAUGUUUCCCCCUCCAGCUGGUCAACAUUUUCUCUUUUACUGGAGAAACAUUCUUGUCCUGUCAAAACCCUGUCCAAAUUAGUAGAUUUGCAAGAUAAGACUGCCCUACACCAUUAGUGUCAUUGCAACUGUUUGUUCUGAAGUAUGUGUAUGGGUUCUUUGGAAUUAAUCCACUAUGUUGUAGUAUUUUCUGCUACAAUUGCAUUCAUAAAACUGUUGAUUAAGCAAAUAAGUGAUUCCUACAGCAAGGUUAAAUAUUUAAAUUCAUUUGACAUUAUUUAGAAUUACGAAGUAUAUGUCUUUGUACAUUUGUCUAUCAAAUCCAGCAGACCUAAGAAUGCCUGCAAUGUAGUAAUAAAAUUUAUUUUUAAUAUGUCACAGUAUUUUGAUCUAAAUUAUCUUGCCCAUGGUAUUGAAGAAAUGAUAUGAAAUGCAUAGAAGGUUGCCUUGAUUUGUAACUUGAAGCCUGAAGAUGGCAUUAUCAGCCUUGUUCUCUUCAUUAGCUGAGACUAAUGUGAA